CUGUCUGUGGUAUAAAGCGUUGUAUCAUUGCCCGGGAAGCAAAAUGUGCGGGUUCGAGUCCCGCCUGGCGUA
rnacentral:tRNA from 1 species